rnacentral:rRNA from 1 species
GACGAACGCUGGCGGCGUGCCUAAUACAUGCAAGUUGAGCGCUGAAGGUUGGUACUUGUACCGACUGGAUGAGCAGCGAGCGGGUGAGUAACGCGUGGGGAAUCUGCCUUUGAGCGGGGGACAACAUUUGGAAACGAAUGCUAAUACCGCAUAAAAACUUUAAACACAAGUUUUAAGUUCGAAAGAUGCAAUUGCAUCACUCAAAGAUGAUCCCGCGUUGUAUUAGCUAGUUGGUGAGGUAAAGGCUCACCAAGGCGAUGAUACAUAGCCGACCUGAGAGGGUGAUCGGCCACAUUGGGACUGAGACACGGCCCAAACUCCUACGGGAGGCAGCAGUAGGGAAUCUUCGGCAAUGGACGAAAGUCUGACCGAGCAACGCCGCGUGAGUGAAGAAGGUUUUCGGAUCGUAAAACUCUGUUGGUAGAGAAGAACGUUGGUGAGAGUGGAAAGCUCAUCAAGUGACGGUAACUACCCAGAAAGGGACGGCUAACUACGUGCCAGCCGCCGCGGUAA